GGGAAAUGAGGAUAAUUAACGCAAUUCUUGAAUUUAAGUGAAGACUUCUAAUCCAACUCUGAUCCCGCUGCUGAGCC